rnacentral:rRNA from 1 species
GUUUAAUAAAUUAUUAUUUUUAUUUAUUUUAUUUAGUUUUGAAUGUAAUAAAAUUAUUUUUAAAAUUUAGAGUUUAAGUAUUUUAUUUAGAAUAAAUUAAUUUAUAUUAUAGUUUAAUAGUCUUGUAAAUGAAAUUUGAAAUAUAUUGAAAAAUUAAAAAUUUGAAUAAGAAAAAUUAAUUUUUUGUACCUUGUGUAUCAGGGUUUAUUAAUUAAAAAAUAUUAAAGUGUAUUUUUCUCGAAUUUAAAAGAGUUAUUUAUUUAUGAAAUUUAAUGUAGCAGAAUUAUUUUUAAUAAAUUUAUAGUAAUGAAAUGUUAAUCGUUUUUAAAGAUAUCUAGUUUUUUAAUAAAUAAAUUUAAUUUAAAUUUUAAUUUUUAUAUAUAUAUAUUUUAUAAAUAAUAUUAAAUUAAAAUUAAUAUUUUAAGGGAUAAGCUUUAAAAUAAAUUUUUAAAAUUUUUUGAAGUGUUUUAUUUAAAUAGGUUUAGAAAUAGCUUUUUUUAAAAAAUGUUAUAAUUUAAUUUAUAUUUUAAUUAAAUUUUUUUUUGUUUAAUAAUUUAUUAAAAUAAUUUAUUUAAUUAAUUUAUUUUCUGUAAUAAUGAUAAAAUUAGUAAAUAAAAAUGUUUAAAUUAUUUAAAUAAUGAAAGGUUUAAAUAAAGGAAUUCGGCAAAUUUUUUUACUCACCUGUUUAACAAAAACAUGUCUUUUUGAGUUAUAAUUUAAAGUCUGGUCUGCCCGAUGAUAUUAAAAUUGAAUGGCUGCGGUAUAUUGACCGUGCAAAGGUAGCAUAAUAAUUUGUCUUUUAAUUGAAGGCUGGUAUGAAUGAUUUGAUGAAGUAAAAGCUGUCUCUAUAAAAUUAUUAAUUUAACUUUAUUUUUUAGUUAAAAAGCUAAAAUUUUAUUAAAGGACGAGAAGACCCUAUAGAGUUUUAUAAUUAUUUUUUGAUUUUUUUUUAAUUUAAGAUAAGUUAGAAUUUUAAUUAUUUUAUUGGGGUGAUAGGAAAAUUAAUUAAACUUUUUUAAUUUUAUUAACAUUGAUUUAUGAUUUUUUGAUCUUUAUGUUAAGAUUAUUAGAAUAAAUUACCUUAGGGAUAACAGCGUAAUUUUUUUUAUAAGUUCUUAUUUAAAAUAAAGGUUGCGACCUCGAUGUUGGAUUAAAAUAAAAUUUAGGUGCAAAAGCUUAAAAUUUUAGGUCUGUUCGACCUUUAAUAUUUUACAUGAUCUGAGUUCAGACCGGUGUAAGCCAGGUCGGUUUCUAUCCUUAAUUUUUUACAAAUUUUUAGUACGAAAGGACCAAAUUUUGAAAAUAAUUUUUUUUAUACGUUUAAUAAUAAACUUUUUUU